GAUGAACGCUAGCUACAGGCUUAACACAUGCAAGUCGAGGGGUAACGAGAGGAAAGCUUGCUUUCCUUGUCGACGACCGGCGCACGGGUGAGUAACGCGUAUCCAACCUGCCCCCAACUAGGGAAUACCCUUGCGAAAGUAAGACUAAUACCCUAUCAUUUCCUCAGAUGUCAUCUGACGAGGACUAAAGAUUUAUCGGUUGUGGAUGGGGAUGCGUCUGAUUAGCUUGUUGGCGGGGUAACGGCCCACCAAGGCAACGAUCAGUAGGGGUUCUGAAAGGAGGGUCCCCCGCAUUGGAACUGAGACACGGUCCAAACUCCUACGGGAGGCAGCAGUGAGGAAUAUUGGUCAAUGGGCGGAAGCCUGAACCAGCCAAGUAGCGUGCAGGAUGACGGCCCUAUGGGUUGUAAACUGCUCUUAUACAGGAAUAAAGUUAGCCACGUGUGGUUAUUUGUAGGUACUGUAUGAAUAAGGACCGGCUAAUUCCGUGCCAGCCGCCGCCGUAA
rnacentral:rRNA from 1 species